rnacentral:lncRNA from 1 species
CCAGGGGUUCCCAAACUGUGGUGUACCACUGGUGAUAUGCAAACCACUUAAAUGCGGUACACGUGCUGCUCUCUGCCAAGGACAUGGCGGUGGCAGAUCCUGAUUCUCUGCUGACCUGGAGGAAACAGGGAACGCAUGUCUGGGCAGCGAGCACAGCACGCGGCGCCCAACACUUCCCCGCUGACUUUUUCCUCACCCUGUGUGAAGACAGGAGCUGCCUUCGCAUAGAAGAGAAGGCUUACGGCAGCGUGAACGAGGAGGACAGGGAGCAGAGCCGCACGGCACGCACAGAGGCAGGGCAGCCAGCUCAUGCUCAGCGCUGCGUGCAGGAAAAGGUUCAUCUCAACAGAUCACCAGUCUUGGGUCGCUGUGUGCAGGAAUUCCCUGAGCUCAGAGCCAUGCAGUGUUGGUUCCAGCAGCACCUGCCUGCUACAAAGCCCCAGGCCAGCAAGACCCCACCACAACAUGUGCUGCAAAGGAGAUGGGGCUUGAAAGCCAGAGGACAACAAACCUAGAACUACAACGUGCAGAAUCACGGGAAAUAGUAAGCAGUGCUGUGCUUUGAGCACAAUUACUUUCAAACAAGUUCUCCUUUUUCAGCUUUUUGACUCACAGAAAUGUUUCAGGUUUAUCAAAACAAGCAAAACCCAAACAGCUCCAUCACAGCUGACCUGCACUGGCCAGAGGGGUGUCCUACCUGUACUGCUGGGGGCAGCCGCUGCUUGGGGGCAGGCUGGGCACUGGCCAAUGGGAGGUGAGCAACUGCACUGUGCAUCACUUGUAAGCAGUAAUAUACAUAGCAGCAAUGGUGAUAAUACAUGUAUUUCUCUUUCUUUUCUGUCUUAGCAAAUAGCUUUUAUCUCAGCUGUUAAGUGCUGCUGUUUUUCC